rnacentral:rRNA from 1 species
UACGGAGGGGGCUAGCGUUGUUCGGAAUUACUGGGCGUAAAGAGCGUGUAGGCGGCCGUGCAAGUCAGAGGUGAAAUGCCCGGGCUCAACCCGGGAAUGGCCUUUGAUACUGCUCGGCUCGAGAACAGGAGAGGACAGCGGAAUUCCAAGUGUAGAGGUGAAAUUCGUAGAUAUUUGGAAGAACACCAGUGGCGAAGGCGGCUGUCUGGCCUGUUUCUGACGCUGAGACGCGAAAGCGUGGGGAGCGAACAGG